rnacentral:siRNA from 1 species
AUGUACUUACGAAAACCGGCACUU